rnacentral:rRNA from 1 species
GACGAACGCUGGCGGCGUGCCUAAUACAUGCAAGUAGAACGCACAGUUUAUACCGUAGCUUGCUACACCAUAGACUGUGAGUUGCGAACGGGUGAGUAACGCGUAGGUAACCUGCCUGGUAGCGGGGGAUAACUAUUGGAAACGAUAGCUAAUACCGCAUAAUAUUAAUUAUUGCAUGAUAAUUAAUUGAAAGGUGCAAUUGCACCACUACCAGAUGGACCUGCGUUGUAUUAGCUAGUAGGUGAGGUAACGGCUCACCAAGGCGACGAUACAUAGCCGACCUGAGAGGGUGAUCGGCCACACUGGGACUGAGACACGGCCCAGACUCCUACGGGAGGCAGCAGUAGGGAAUCUUCGGCAAUGGGGGGAACCCUGACCGAGCAACGCCGCGUGAGUGAAGAAGGUUUUCGGAUCGUAAAGCUCUGUUGUAAGAGAAGAACGGGUGUGAGAGUGGAAAGUUCACACUGUGACGG